GCGUUAUCGCGAUUACUGGGCGUAAGCGCACGCAGGCGGUUUGUUAAGUCAGAUGUGAAAUCCCCGGGCUCAACCUGGGAACUGCAUCUGAUACUGGCAAGCUUGAGUCUCGUAGAGGGGGGUAGAAUUCCAGGUGUAGCGGUGAAAUGCGUAGAGAUCUGGAGGAAUACCGGUGGCGAAGGCGGCCCCCUGGACGAAGACUGACGCUCAGGUGCGAAAGCGUGGGGAGCAAACAGGAUUAGAUACCCUGGUAGUCCACGCCGUAAACGAUGUCGACUUGGAGGUUGUGCCCUUGAGGCGUGGCUUCCGGAGCUAACGCGUUAAGUCGACCGCCUGGGGAGUACGGCCGCAAGGUUAAAACUCAAAUGAAUUGACGGGGGCCCGCACAAGCGGUGGAGCAUGUGGUUUAAUUCGAUGCAACGCGAAGAACCUUACCUGGUCUUGACAUCCACGGAAGUUUUCAGAGAUGAGAAUGUGCCUUCGGGAACCGUGAGACAGGUGCUGCAUGGCUGUCGUCAACUCGUGUUGUGAAAUGUUGGGUUAAGUCCCGCAACGAGCGCAACCCUUAUACUUUGUUGCCAGCGGUCCGGCCGGGAACUCAAAGGAGACUGCCAUUGAUAAACUGGAGCAAGGUGGGGGAUGAC
rnacentral:rRNA from 1 species